AACGAACGCUGGCGGCAUGCCUAACACAUGCAAGUCGAACGAAUGGUUUCGGCCAUUAGUGGCGCACGGGUGAGUAACGCGUGGGAAUCUGCCCAGCAGUGGGGGAUAACCUCUGGAAACGGAGGCUAAUACCGCAUACGCCCCUCGGGGGAAAGGCUUGCUGCUGCUGGAGGAGCCCGCGUCGGAUUAGGUAGUUGGUGGGGUAACGGCCUACCAAGCCUGUGAUCCGUAGCUGGUCUGAGAGGAUGAUCAGCCACACUGGGACUGAGACACGGCCCAGACUCCUACGGGAGGCAGCAGUGGGGAAUAUUGCGCAAUGGGCGGAAGCCUGACGCAGCCAACCCGCGUGUGUGAUGAAGGCCUCGGUUGUAAGUACACUGUCGUGAGGGAA
rnacentral:rRNA from 1 species